UACGGAGGAUCCAAGCGUUAUCCGGAUUUAUUGGGUUUAAAGGGUGCGUAGGCGGCUUGUUAAGUCAGGGGUGAAAGACGAUGGCUCAACCAUCGCAGUGCCUUUGAUACUGACGAGCUUGAAUGUACUUGAGGUAGGCGGAAUGUGACAAGUAGCGGUGAAAUGCAUAGAUAUGUCUCAGAACACCGAUUGCGAAGGCAGCUUACUAUGGUCUUAUUGACGCUGAGGCACGAAAGCGUGGGGAUCAAACAGG
rnacentral:rRNA from 1 species